AGAGUUUGAUCCUGGCUCAGGAUGAACGCUGGCGGCGUGCUUAACACAUGCAAGUCGAACGAACCUUCGGGUUAGUGGCGGACGGGUGAGUAACGCGUGAGAAUCUGCCCUCAGGAGGGGGAUAACAGUUGGAAACGACUGCUAAUACCCCAUAUGCCGAGAGGUGAAAUGAAUUUCGCCUGGGGAUGAGCUCGCGUCUGAUUAGCUUGUUGGUGGGGUAAUAGCCUACCAAGGCUUCGAUCAGUAGCUGGUCUGAGAGGACGAUCAGCCACACUGGGACUGAGACACGGCCCAGACUCCUACGGGAGGCAGCAGUGGGGAAUUUUCCGCAAUGGGCGAAAGCCUGACGGAGCAACGCCGCGUGAGGGAUGGAGGCCUUUGGGCUGUAAACCUCUUUUCUCAAGGAAGAAGAUCUGACGGUACUUGAGGAAUAAGCCACGGCUAAUUCCGUGCCAGCAGCCGCGGUAAUACGGGAGUGGCAAGCGCUAUCCGGAAUUAUUGGGCGUAAAGCGUCCGCAGGCGGCCGUUUAAGUCUGUUGUUAAAUCGUGGAGCUCAACUCCAUCACGGCAAUGGAAACUGUCCGGCUUGAGUAUGGUAGGGGCAGAGGGAAUUUCCGGUGUAGCGGUGAAAUGCGUAGAUAUCGGGAAGAACACCAGUGGCGAAAGCGCUCUGCUGGGCCAUUACUGACGCUCAUGGACGAAAGCCAGGGGAGCGAAAGGGAUUAGAUACCCCUGUAGUCCUGGCCGUAAACGAUGAACACUAGAUGUUGGGGGAAUCGACCCCCUCGGUGUCGUAGCUAACGCGUUAAGUGUUCCGCCUGGGGAGUACGCACGCAAGUGUGAAACUCAAAGGAAUUGACGGGGGCCCGCACAAGCGGUGGAGUAUGUGGUUUAAUUCGAUGCAACGCGAAGAACCUUACCAAGGCUUGACAUCCUGCGAAUCUCUAAGAAAUUAGAGAGUGCCUUCGGGAACGCAGUGACAGGUGGUGCAUGGCUGUCGUCAGCUCGUGUCGUGAGAUGUUGGGUUAAGUCCCGCAACGAGCGCAACCCACGUUUUUAGUUGCCAGCAUUCAGUUGGGCACUCUAGAAAGACUGCCGGUGACAAACCGGAGGAAGGUGUGGACGACGUCAAGUCAUCAUGCCCCUUACGCCUUGGGCUACACACGUACUACAAUGCUGCGGACAAAGAGUAGCGAUCUUGCGAAAGUUAGCUAAUCUCAUAAACCGUGGCUCAGUUCAGAUCGUAGGCUGCAACUCGCCUACGUGAAGGAGGAAUCGCUAGUAAUCGCAGGUCAGCAUACUGCGGUGAAUACGUUCCCGGGCCUUGUACACACCGCCCGUCACACCAUGGAAGUUGGCCAUGCCCGAAGUCGUUACUCUAACCUUUUGGAAGAGGGCGCCGAAGGCAGGGCUAAUGACUGGGGUGAAGUCGUAACAAGGUAACC
rnacentral:rRNA from 1 species